UCCAUUAUGGUCUAGUGGUUAUAGGACAGCUGGCUCUCACCCAGCAGGCCCGGGUUCAGUUCCCGGUAACGGAA